GGCACAAGCAGACCCGACUAAUCCAGCCCGGAGGCACGGAUCUGCCCUGCGGGCCGGGGUUGGGUUCGAGGAUCUGCAUGGACCAGGGUCAGCCGGGUCAGGGUGCAGGGCGGCCGGGACGAGAAUCGCAAGGUCCCCAACGCACUCAGUCCUCACAACAACCGGUUAUACAAGGCCUCCACCCCACUGAGCAGAGGAGGAAACUGAGUCAUAGGACAGCAAGGUCGCUGGCUCGUUGUGGGAACUGGUACCAAAGGAACCGGGCUGGAACCCCACAUCUGUCCGGGUCCAGGGCGGUGAGAUGCACUGCAGGUCUCCCCUCCCUGCGCCCCACUGCCUGUGAAACGCAUGCACAGCCGGGGACCACAGGGCUCUCAAACAACCCCUGGGCCCAGCCAGGGUCUGCUCUGGUGUGGAGAGGAAGAGCCUGCCAGUCACAGGGAGGAAGCAGAAACCGAAUUCGGCCGGGAGAAGGCCCAGUGCCUCCCCAGUGGUGAGGGGCCCAUAGGCAGAGCCCAGAGCCUCCUGGGUACAUCCCUGACAGACAGCAGGGUAGAGGGGUCCUGAGGUAUGGGGUGGGGAGGGGUGUGGCCUUGGACAAGAGUCCCCACUGUAGGCUGCACAUCCAUCACCAGGAGGCCAGCUCUGAUGGCGCUCCUGGGACCCAACUGUUAGAGCCAGGCAGACAGGCCACAGCAGUGCAGCCACUCCAGGCCACUGAAGCUGGGUGGGCUAGCCCCAAUAUGCCCAGGAUAGACACACUUGCAUGCCUGCUCCUCUCCCAAAGGGGGUCAUUGCACAGGAACACAUGGCCCAGCACAUACAGAGAAAAAGCUCCUAGGAUUAAGAGGAAGUUAGGGCAGCAUGGUCCAUGGAGGACUUGGGGACCAGGGGCCAGGUUGGGGACCACUGUCAGCCUUUUUGUUCUGUUGAGUUAUCACCUCCUUCACUAGUAACAGCAUUAUCUUAAUAACACACCGAAGUCCUGCUGUGUCCUCUGUAAGAACAGUGACCUUGGGCAGCACCAGCUGUGAACCAAGCAUCACACAAGUGCCCUGUGACCAUUACAUCAUCCAGUCUUGCGUCCGUCCUAUUGCAGUAACAAACGGGGCCCGGACGGACCCUGCAGUGGUCACUUGUGUCCUCGAGGCCCAUGGAGGGGCCUGCGGGGAGCUCAGAUGGGUGGUGAUCCCAGCAGGACACUUGUCCCUGUUCCCCACCACACAUGAGCAGCCUCAUGAGUCCAGGGUCUGUGCUGGCCCUGCUACAAGUGCCUGGCUGUGCUUUGCUCCUUGAUCCUUGGAGCCCCCAGAAGGUGCUUUCUGUGGUUAUCUCCUACAGGAACUAACGCACCUGUGUCCACCCUGCUUUGCUGGGAACAGCGUGACCCUCAGCAGAGACCAUGCCGGCUGCACUCUGCCCUGCUGCUAGGAACCGUGCACAGCAGCUGCGACGGCCUCAUCUGCUAUGUCUUACAUUACAGCACGAAGUCGCCUCCUGGUGCCCUGCCGUGCCCCUAGCCCCAAUGCCCAUGGCCCACCUGCCCGCAGGCCACCCAUA